AUAGGCGCGUCCGUUACAGGUUCCCAGCGAUGGGAUGAAUAGGGAAUCCGGGAAUGGCCAUCGGCCAUGAUCCGGGGCUGCCCCCGCAACUGUGAUCGGUGAGUCGCCGCUUCGUUAUGCCACUGGUUCUUGCGGACCGGGAAGGUGAAGCGGCCGACAUUGACCCGAGAGCCAGGAGACCUGCCCGUAACAGUCGUUCUUUC
rnacentral:ncRNA from 1 species